CACCAAGCAAUCAGCUUAGAUUGUCCUCUGACAGCUAACAACUAAUCAAGAUUUGUUCAGAUGGAGGUGGAUUUGGACAAAUGAGGCUGACACCUCCAAAGCAGCCAUCAUGGUCUAUAGUAGCAGUGGUGCACAUUAGCAGGCUCAAGACCACAUAUUCAUGCAUUAGACCUAGCAGUUUUAAAUGAGCUGUUAUUAUCUAUCAAAUAAUAUGUACUGUUAAGUAUGCAAAGAUAUGUCCAGAGGAGUUGUUGUGAUCUACAGCAACAACUUUAUUUCUCUUUCACUUCAACAAACUUUUUUUCUUUAAUCAAUUGCUUUUCUACUUGGUUACAUUGUUAAUAAAGAAGCACACAGCCAAUAUUGAACGGCGCACUCAGAAUUUGUGAAGCCUGCACAGAACACUAAGAAUUUGCAACUGAACUCCUUACUAAAAUCACACGCAGCAGUGAUUUCCAGGAAUGCAGUGAUGUCCAGGAAGGCACUGAUGUCCAGGAAGGACCAUAUUCCAUGGUCUUUGGAGAGAUCUUGUCGUUACUUGCCUGCUGAAUUUAGGAUCUUUGUUACCUUAAUCCUAAAUAAAACUGCUCUUAAAACGUCAUUCAAGGCCCUUUUUCAGUAUUUGUUUACCCUGAGCUGUUCUGAGGUUCUUACAAGACAUGUACACCUUUGUGCAAGUGGAAAACAUGAUUUAUUUGUAUGUCUCCUGGAUUCUUCUGUCUUGACAUGCUCCUUGAUGCAGCCUUUGAUUAUUUCAACUUAUGAACAGUCAAGAGUCCAAUGUUAAGGAAUUAUUAUACAGCAAAAAUAAUAACAAAUGAAUGAGUAGAAUUUCAGCUGUGAUCCAGAUCAGUUCUACAGAGGCUGAACCCUCCCACCAAGAUUCCAUUACAUUUGUUGCCAUGUGACAGAUGACAGCAAAAGGGCAGUCUGACAAAACUGCGUCUGACAUGGAAGUGUUUAUGAAGAACCAGUAUGGAAUUGAAUUCCUCCAUGCAGAAAAAAUGGCGCCCACUGACAUUCAUUGACACUUGCUGUAGGAUGUGAGCACAGUGAGGGGUGGACGGUGCAUUUCAGCAAUGGUGACAGCGCCAUGAAAGACAAGCCACAUUCCAGACUGCCAUGCACAGCUGUCACACCAUAAAAUGAAGAGCAUCUUGACCAACCCAUCUGAGCAAAUCAACUAAUGGUGGUGACUGUGUUGAAAAGAUAGAAUUUUUAUCUGGGAAUUACCUAUAUCAAAUAGUGUUAUUGUUCUCUUUGCACCUGCUGUAGUUUUCAUUUGUGGGUUUUAUUUUUUGUUGUUUGUUUGUUCAUUUGUUUUAAUCUUGUAUUCUGCUUCCUGUGAUUAAAAGCAAGCUGUUUACACAACGUUUAUUACUAAGCAAAGAAAGUCCUCCAUCUGAACAAAUCCAGUUGUUAUACAUGACUAUGAAACAACACAUGUUCAUAUCCAUUUCUGUACAUGUUUACAGUUCAGUGUUUCCAUCCAAUUCAUUAAACAGCUGUCUGCUCUUCUUUCAACAUUAUUUGUGCUCACAUUUACAAACCACAGGUAAUUAGAAAUAAUAUUUGAAACAAAGGCCUUUUGGGAUAUUAAUCAAUGAAAAAAAUAUUACCUGUGAGAUUUUAUAUGAUAGGCACAACUAUCAGACAGAACAUUACUCUUACUAUAUUAUUUUUGGUUUCAAGGCUUCUUAGUCAUAGUAGAAAUGCAAUAUUUUGCAGGAAAAUUCAAUACUUCAUCAGAUGCCUGAUGUAUUUUUUUAGUAUAAAUAUUACUGUGUUUAACCUCACAAUGUCUUUGGGGGAAAAAUCAGACUAAUUCAAGCACCUUUUCAAGCAACAAGGAAAUAGCAUAUGUGAUUUUCAGUGCAUAAUUCAGUCUCUCAAGUAACCCUGAGGAGAUUGAGAAGACUACCUGUAUCUUCCUUUACAGUCAAAAUUUUUCAUGGUAUCUAUAUAUCUAUUUUCCAGUAGGUAUUGCAGUCUUCAAAAAAUGGCCUUAAAUUCAUGUGCACACGAGGGAUUUUUCCUGAGAAACCAAACAUUAGGCAUAAUUGAUAAAGUGCGUGCAAACAUGACUGUGCAUUUAAAUAUGUGAAGAACUAUAACCUAAUUCCUUUUUGGUUAUUCUCUUCUAUCACGUCUUUGUUGAUAAACCACUGCAAUAUAAGUGUUGUCUGCCCUUUUUCCUUCUUUUGCCUUCAUAUAUUUUAAAAAAUGAACCAGAAGAAAUAAGUGGAAGAUAGCACAUAUGUUAGGAAAAAAUCAGAGAAGUAAGUAGGGAGAAAGAAAAUCAUAAGAGAAAUCCACAGCAGAACAAUAAUAUUCACCAUCUGUUUUCCAAACUUACCAAACUUUAAGUACAUAGCUAUGAGUAAAAGAGUCCAUUGUAGUAGGUGCUAUUGAACUUACCAAACACCAGGCUUUUAAACACAGUCAUUUUUGUUUUCCUCACAAGCUUUGGAAGUUAAACAUUUGAAUUUACAGAGCUACAACCAGUUUUAUGAGUUCAUGAUGGUUCAGUAUUUGUUUCUCUUGUAAUCUCAACUGUGAGGAAGAUUUGGGCUUUUAAAAUGACUGUUUACAAGGCAUUCAGCUUCCAGACAUUGAUGUAUUUUGCUUUCUUUCUAAUCAUCAUCCAAUCUCUUAAAUGCUUUUACAAAUUAAGCUUGAAUGCUCCUCCUGAUAUCAAAUACAGCAUAUUAUUUCUAAUGAUUCUUUCUACUCUUUGAAAUGCCACUCAACUUUUUUUUUUUACUGUAACCAUUAGAUAUAUCUAUACAAAAUAAAUAAAUGAGAAGACUAUUUCUAACAUGCAAACCUUGACACAUUUAUCAGUUAUGUUUCAACAACGUUUUAGUUGGUAAUGAAACACUCAUCUCUGUUUUCUUUAUACUAUGAUGUUGUGCCUCAUGACAGAACUUCACGAAGUUUCUUUUAACACUGUUGAUGAUAUUUCU
ensembl:lncRNA